GACGAACGCUGGCGGCGUGCUUAACACAUGCAAGUCGAACGGAAAGGCCCCAGCUUGCUGGGGUACUCGAGUGGCGAACGGGUGAGUAACACGUGGGUGAUCUGCCCUGCACUCUGGGAUAAGCCUGGGAAACUGGGUCUAAUACCGGAUAGGACCGUACUUUAGUGUGUGCGGUGGAAAGUUUUUCGGUGCAGGAUGAGCCCGCGGCCUAUCAGCUUGUUGGUGGGGUAAUGGCCUACCAAGGCGGCGACGGGUAGCCGGCCUGAGAGGGUGUACGGCCACAUUGGGACUGAGACACGGCCCAGACUCCUACGGGAGGCAGCAGUGGGGAAUAUUGCACAAUGGGCGCAAGCCUGAUGCAGCGACGCCGCGUGGGGGAUGACGGCCUUCGGGUUGUAAACCCCUUUCGGCAGGGACGAAGCUUUUGUGACGGUACCUGCAUAAGAAGCACCGGCUAACUACGUG
rnacentral:rRNA from 1 species